rnacentral:rRNA from 1 species
AUUGAACGCUGGCGGCAUGCCUUACACAUGCAAGUCGAACGGCAGCACGGUUAGUUGCAGCUGGUGGCGAGUGGCGAACGGGGGCGUAAUACAUCGGAACAGGUCCUGUAGUGUGGGAUAGCGCGGCGGAAGCGGGAUUAAUGCCACAUACGCACUACGGCUGAAAGCGGGAGCCCUGCAGGCCUCGCGCUUUCGGGAUGGACUGUGGCGAUGUCGGAUUAGCUAGUUGGCGGGGUAAAGGCCCACCAAGGCGACGAUCUGUAGCUGGUCUGAGAGGAUGAUCAGCCACACUGGAACUGAGACACGGUCCAGACUCCUACGGGAGGCAGCAGUGGGGAAUUUUGGACAAUGGGCGCAAGCCUGAUCCAGCAAUGCCGCGUGUGUGAAGAAGGCCUUCGGGUUGUAAAGCACUUUUGUCCGGAAAGAAAACCAUCACCCUAAUACGGUGGUGGGCUGACGGUACCGGAAGAAUAAGCACCGGCUAACUACGUG